rnacentral:rRNA from 1 species
GAUGAACGCUGGCGGCGUGCUUAACACAUGCAAGUCGAACGGUAAGGCUCCUGCUUUCCUCGUCACUCGAGUGGCGAACGCGUGAGUAUCACGCGGGGGAUCUCCCCUUCACUUCGGGAUAAGACUGGUAAACUGGGUCUAAUAUCGGAUAUGACGAUGGUUUACAUGUCAUUGUGGUAAGUUUUUCGGUGUGGCUUGAGGUCGCGGCCGAUCAGCGUGUUGGUAGGGUAAUGGUCUACAAAGGCGUCGCCGGGUAGCCGGACUGUGAGUGUGUACGGGCACAUUGGGACUGAGAUAGGGCCCAGACGCAUACGGGAGGAAGGGGUGGGAAAUAUUGCGAAAUGGGCGCCAGGCUGAUGGAGCGACGCCGGGUGGGGGAUGACGGCCUUCGGGUUGUAAACUCCGUUCGCUAGGGACGAAGCGACAGUGACGGUACCUUGAGAAGAAGCAACGGCUAACUACGUG